UGAUAAACCUUACCACCCCUUGCUAAUCCAGUCUAUAUACCGCCAUCUUCAGCAAACCCUAAAAAGGCCUCAAAGUAAGCAUAAGUAUAUACAUAAAAACGUUAGGUCAAGGUGUAACCUAUGGGGUGGAAAGCAAUGGGCUACAUUUUCUACCCUAGAAUAYCACGGACAUUCCUAUGAAAACAAGAAUUAAAGGAGGAUUUAGCAGUAAACCAAGARUAGAGAGCUUAGUUGAAAAAGGCCAUGAAGCACGCACACACCGCCCGUCACCCUCCUCAAAUGCAACUCAACAACAUGUAUUCAUAAACAAGAUUAACAUGAAUGCAUAAGACGAGACAA
rnacentral:rRNA from 1 species